rnacentral:rRNA from 1 species
GAUGAACGCUGGCGGCGUGCUUAACACAUGCAAGUCGAACGGGAAUUAUUUUAUUGAAACUUCGGUCGAUUUAAUUUAAUUCUAGUGGCGGACGGGUGAGUAACGCGUGGGUAACCUGCCUUAUACAGGGGGAUAACAUUCAGAAAUGGCUGCUAAUACCGCAUAAGCGCACAGAGCUGCAUGACUCAGUGUGAAAAACUCCGGUGGUAUAAGAUGGACCCGCGUUGGAUUAGCUUGUUGGCAGGGUAACGGCCUACCAAGGCGACGAUCCAUAGCCGGCAUGAGAGGGUGAACGGAAACAUUGGGAGUGAGACACGGCCCAGACUCCUACGGGAGGCAGCAGUGGGGAAUAUUGCACAAUGGGGGAAACCCUGAUGCAGCGACGCCGCGUGAAGGAAGAAGUAUCUCGGUAUGUAAACUUCUAUCAGCAGGGAAGAUAGUGACGGUACCUGACUAAGAAGCCCCGGCUAACUACGUG